GAAAUGCGAUAAGUAAUGUGAAUUGCAGAAUUCAGUGAAUCAUCGAAUCUUUGAACGCACAUUGCGCCCCCUGGUAUUCCGGGGGGCAUGCCUGUUCGAGCGUCAUUUCACCACUCAAGCCUCGCUUGGUAUUGGGCGACGCGGUCCGCCGCGCGCCUCAAAUCGACCGGCUGGGUCUUUCGUCCCCUCAGCGUUGUGGAAACUAUUCGCUAAAGGGUGCCGCGGGAGGCCACGCCGCAAAACAACCCCAUUUCUAAGGUUGACCUCGGAUCAGGUAGGGAUACCCGCUGAACUUAAGC
rnacentral:misc_RNA from 1 species